rnacentral:lncRNA from 1 species
AAUAGAACAAAAAAGAGGGUGUGGAUGCGCUUUAUCUAGUUUUGUAUAAUUUUUUUCUUUACUAUCCCCCCUUUUGUUCUAUUCAGACCUAUUUCUUUUCGGUUUUUUUUUGAAGUCUUUCUCUAAAACUCUAAAAAAGUAUUCUUAAAGUUUUUUAUUUAUCUAAUUCUUUAGAUAUUAUUUAUUAAUUUCCAUAUUUAUUAUAUCUAUUUAUUAAUAUAUAAUUUGAUUUGUUAUUUGGAUUUGAAUUCAAUUUAAUAAAUAACCAAUUAACUCUUUUUGUUUUGUUAUUGUAUGUUUUUAGUAUUUU